CCAAUAGCGUAUAUUAAAGUUGUUGCAGUUAAAAAGCUCGUAGUUGAAUUUCGGGACCAAUAUGUCGGUCGUGCUUCGGUACGUACUUGCAUUAUUGGUUUCUCCCUUCUGAAGAACCAUGAUGUCAUUAAUUUGGUGUCUUGGGGAAUCAGGACUGUUACUUUGAAAAAAUUAGAGUGUUUAAAGCAGGCUCACGCUUGAAUACAUUAGCAUGGAAUAAUGGAAUAGGACGUUUGAUUCUAUUUUGUUGGUUUCUAGGAUCGACGUAAUGAUUAAUAGGGAUAGUUGGGGGCAUUAGUAUUCAAUUGUCAGAGGUGAAAUUCUUGGAUUUAUUGAAGACUAACUACUGCGAAAGCAUUUGCCAAGGAUGUUUUCAUUAAUCAAGAACGAAAGUUAGGGGAUCGAAGACGAUCAGAUACCGUCGUAGUCUUAACCAUAAACUAUGCCGACUAGGGAUCGGAUGAUGUUAAUUUUUUAAUGACUCAUUCGGCGCCUUACG
rnacentral:rRNA from 1 species